rnacentral:rRNA from 1 species
GAUGAACGCUAGCGACAGGCUUAACACAUGCAAGUCGAGGGGCAGCAUGUCGGUUGCUUGCAACCGAUGAUGGCGACCGGCGCACGGGUGAGUAACGCGUAUCCAACCUACCCUUGCCCAUCGGAUAACCCGUCGAAAGGCGGCCUAACACGAUAUGCGGUUCUCAGCAGGCAUCUAACGAGAACGAAAUGUGAAGGAGAAGGAUGGGGAUGCGUCUGAUUAGCUUGUUGGCGGGGUAACGGCCCACCAAGGCGACGAUCAGUAGGGGUUCUGAGAGGAAGGUCCCCCACAUUGGAACUGAGACACGGUCCAAACUCCUACGGGAGGCAGCAGUGAGGAAUAUUGGUCAAUGGACGGGAGUCUGAACCAGCCAAGUAGCGUGCAGGAUGACGGCCCUAUGGGUUGUAAACUGCUUUUAUAGGGGGAUAAAGUGUGCCACGUGUGGCAUAUUGCAGGUACCCUAUGAAUAAGGACCGGCUAAUUCCGUGCCAGCAGCCGCGGUAAUACGGAAGGUCCGGGCGUUAUCCGGAUUUAUUGGGUUUAAAGGGAGCGUAGGCCGUCUUAUAAGCGUGUUGUGAAAUGUCGUGGCUCAACCUGGGCAUUGCAGCGCGAACUGUGAGACUUGAGUGCGCAGGAAGUAGGCGGAAUUCGUCGUGUAGCGGUGAAAUGCUUAGAUAUGACGAAGAACUCCGAUUGCGAAGGCAGCCUGCUGUAGCGCAACUGACGCUGAAGCUCGAAAGCGUGGGUAUCGAACAGG